rnacentral:rRNA from 1 species
GACGAACGCUGGCGGCGUGCCUAAUACAUGCAAGUCGAACGCAGUGGGGACGGGUGAGUAACACGUGGGUAACCUCCCAUCAGAGGGGAUAACACUUGGAAACAGGUGCUAAACCGAUACUGAUGGAUGGACCCGCGGUGCAUUAGCUAGUUGGGGAGGUAACGGCUCACCAAGGCCACGAUGCAUAGCCGCGGUGAGAGGGUGAGCGGCGAACCUGGGACUGAGAAACGGCCCAAACUCCGACGGGAGGCAGCAGUGGGGAAUUUGCGGCAAUGGACGAAAGUCUGACCGAGCAACGCCGCGGGGGUGAAGAGGGUUUGAGGAUCGUAAAACUUGUUAGUUAGAGAAGCGGUAUCUAACCAGAAAGCCACGGCUAACUACGUGCCAGCAGCCGCGGUAAUUC